rnacentral:rRNA from 1 species
AUGCCUGUUCGAGCGUCAUUUCAACCCUCGACCUCCCUUUGGGGAAGUCGGCGUUGGGGACCGGCAGCACACCGCCGGCCCUGA